rnacentral:rRNA from 1 species
UAGGGAAUCUUCCACAAUGGGCGCAAGCCUGAUGGAGCAACACCGCGUGAGUGAAGAAGGGUUUCGGCUCGUAAAGCUCUGUUGUUGGAGAAGAACGUGCGUGAGAGUAACUGUUCACGCAGUGACGGUAUCCAACCAGAAAGUCACGGCUAACUACGUGUCAG